ACAUCUGACUGUUGCAGCAGGUGCAGUGAAAGCAGCUGCCGGAGCAAUCACAGCUGUUCUACUGGCCGUCAUACUCCUCGCUGUCUUCCUGUGGGUUAGAAGAAAGAAGUCCUUCUCACAACAGUGUAGACGUGGUGAGAGACCUGACAACAAAGCACAGCCGGACGUGGCUCCAGUGUACGACACCCCGUCAGCCACAGCGCAGAGACAACCAGCAGAACAGCAGGACUACCUCCACUACGCCAGUGUCUGCUUCUCUCAGACCCAGGAAGACGCUCUCUACUCCAACAUCAGGCCAGCUGUGUCCCAUACACAGACAGAGGAAGAGGAGGAGAAGGAUGGUGUUGAAUACACUACUGUCAGAUGUGUCAGUGCCUGUAGUGGCCCAGGAACAAGACAUCAAGAUGGUGGGGAGGAUUCGUUUGCACUGUACAGCACAGUCAACAAAACCUAGAAGAACACACCAUGUAUGUGUCGUAAUUGACAGUAAACGUGGUCAUCUCUAAGCAGGUAGCCGCACCGUCGGAAACUGUGCACGGACAAGGUCAGGAAUGCAGCAUCAAGGCAGCCGUCAAAAAUAAACAGCAGCACAUGUAGGAUAUGUAAAAA